GAAAGUUCACUUUGGUAACUGAGUGAAAUUCAAAACCUCUUCCUGCUCAGCCAGUGACGUCAGAGGACAGUUAGUGUCCUUUCACACAGUAGGUGAGACACUGACCAGAGCAGCAGCACUGACCCGGGAGGACAGACAGCACUGACCCGGGAGGACAGACAGCACUGACCCAGGAGGACAGACAGCACUGACCCAGGAGGACAGACAGCACUGACCCCGGAGGACAGACAGCACUGACCCAGGAGGACAGACAGCACUGACCCCGGAGGACAGACAGCACUGCCCCGGGAGGACAGACAGCACUGACCCAGGAGGACAGACAGCACUGACCCAGGAGGACAGACAGCACUGACCCGGGAGGACAGACAGCACCUGACCCCGGAGGACAGACAGCACUGACCCCGGAGGACAGACAGCACUGACCCAGGAGGACAGACAGUACCGACCCAGGAGGACAGACAGCACCUGGAUGCUUUUAUAACUCAUUUGAUGAGACAGUUCGUGGAUGUGAAGCCACUGGAAAACAUAUCAAAGGGAGAAGAGACGUCAUCAUCCGCUGCUUAAUGGAGCAACAUGGAGCGUCUGGAGAGGAACUGGAGAGGAACUGGGGAGGAACUGGAGAGGAACUGGGGAGGAACUGGAGAGGAACUGGGGAGGAACUGGAGAGGAACUGGAGAGGAACUGGAGAGGAACGGCCAGGUCCAUCUGUGAUGAUUAUUCUGACCAUAAUAAAAACCUAAGACUUA